AGACCAUGAUGUGGACACUUUUGGAGCAGAUCUUUGUAUCUUUCCCAUGCUUCAUACAACGACUUACUAUCGAAUUGAGUGAAUCUGGUAAUGUUAUUCCUUAGCUU
rnacentral:snoRNA from 1 species